GGACAUGAGGGAAUCUGAAUGUGAUAUCUGUCACCCCAUUGAUCAUAAGAGUUUAUUGGGCUGAUCUGGAUAACUAGGCUGAUAUCCCCUUCUUCCCUCACUGCUCCAUGUGAGUCUUUCUUGAAUCCACAAACUCCAUCAAAGAGAAUGACUUUCCUGAUAGAGGAGGACUAGUCUUUGUCAGAGUAUAAGAGUACCUUUUGUUCCCCUGCUUAAAGCUCCAAAUAAGCUCUCAAUAUCUAAUUACUUAAAAGAAAAUUAUUU
rnacentral:snRNA from 1 species